CAGCUCCAAAUGAUGCGGCUGAAACUUUGAGCCCCGUCACGGCGCUGCUGUGAUUUGAUUGGCUACGACAAUGUACACCCUCUGUGGAAGCCUGGCUGCUCUCACUGGACGCUGGCAGGCAGCCACGGAUAUACAAAGAGCUCAUCGGGACAAACAUCAAUGAGGCGAAGAUCUACUUGCAGACUGAGUCCUCAGUGCAGGAUGUUCUCCUGAAUUCACAGGUGUCCGUUACAUUCAAGGGGGUGUCCAUCUACAUGGAGGGCUGCUUCAAGUGUCAUGACCCCUGUGAUGGCCAAACCCUUGAGACACCUUUGGUGUUUCCCAGCACACCAUGAGGACCACCACCAGGGUUUUAAACAGCAGCACGACCCUUUAGGCUCUGUAUCUUAUUCAUUUCAUUACUGUAGUGACAGU